GAUGAACGCUAGCGGCAGGCCUAACACAUGCAAGUCGAGGGAGAAGCCCUUCGGGGCGGAAACCGGCGCACGGGUGCGUAACGCGUAUGCAACCUACCUUUCACAGGGGGAUAGCCCGGAGAAAUUUGGAUUAAUAUCCCAUAAUAUUGUCGGAUGGCAUCAUUUGGCAAUUAAAGUUACGAUGGUGGAAGAUGGGCAUGCGUCCUAUUAGCUAGUUGGCGAGGUAACGGCUCGCCAAGGCGACGAUAGGUAGGGGUCCUGAGAGGGAGAUCCCCCACACUGGUACUGAGACAGGGACCAGACUCCUACGGGAGGCAGCAGUGAGGAAUAUUGGUCAAUGGUCGGAAGACUGAACCAGCCAUGCCGCGUGCAGGAAGGCGGCCUUAUGGGUUGUAAACUGCUUUUAUAUGGGAAGAAUAAGGGGUAACGUGUACUUUGAUGACGUACCAUAUGAAUAAAGC
rnacentral:rRNA from 1 species